rnacentral:rRNA from 1 species
AUUGAACGCUGGCGGCAUGCCUUACACAUGCAAGUCGAACGGUAGAGUAGCAAUACUUGAGAGUGGCGAACGGGUGAGUAAUAUAUCGGAACGUGCCCAGUCGUGGGGGGAUAACGUAGAGAAAUUUACGCUAAUACCGCAUACGAUCUAAGGAUGAAAGCGGGGGAUUCGCAAGAACCUCGCGCGAUUGGAGCGGCUGAUAUCAGAUUAGGUUGUUGGUGAGGUAAAAGCUCACCAAGCCGACGAUCUGUAGCUGGUUUGAGAGAACGACCAGCCACACUGGGACUGAGACACGGCCCAGACUCCUACGGGAGGCAGCAGUGGGGAAUUUUUGGGACAAUGGGCGAAAGCCUGAUCCAGCAAUGCCGCGUGCAGGAAGAAGGCCU